rnacentral:tRNA from 1 species
GCAGGAGUUGCCAAGCCUGGUCUACGGCGCUAGACCGAGGCUCUAGUGACAUAGGUCUUCGUGGGUUCGAAUUCGCUAACUGCCUUAACGGCGUCGAUUGAAAUUCCCACCUCCUGCA